GCCAGCGGCAAUAGCACGUUGAAUGCAAUAGUUCCCAAUGGAUCAUUGAAGUUAAGCGACGUUGCGCGUCGUUGGUAUCUGGAUGGGUGAUUGGGCAACCAGGUGCUGCUGGUU
rnacentral:rRNA from 1 species